rnacentral:hammerhead_ribozyme from 1 species
GCACCGCUGAGGAGUCCCAACAUAGGACGAAAUAGCUGUCCAGUGC